UACGAAGGGGGCUAGCGUUGUUCGGAAUUACUGGGCGUAAAGCGCACGUAGGCGGAUUGUUAAGUCGGGGGGUGAAAUCCCGGGGCUCAACCCCGGAACUGCCUUCGAUACUGGCGAUCUCGAGUCCGGAAGAGGUUAGUGGAAUUCCCAGUGUAGAGGUGAAAUUCGUAGAUAUUGGGAAGAACACCAGUGGCGAAGGCGGCUAACUGGUCCGGUACUGACGCUGAGGUGCGAAAGCGUGGGGAGCAAACAGG
rnacentral:rRNA from 1 species